rnacentral:rRNA from 1 species
UACGUAGGGUGCGAGCGUUAAUCGGAAUUACUGGGCGUAAAGCGUGCGCAGGCGGUUGUGCAAGACAGAUGUGAAAUCCCCGGGCUUAACCUGGGAAUGGCAUUUGUGACUGCACGGCUAGAGUGUGUCAGAGGGGGGUAGAAUUCCACGUGUAGCAGUGAAAUGCGUAGAUACGUGGAGGAAUACCGAUGGCGAAGGCAGCCCCCUGGGAUAACACUGACGCUCAUGCACGAAAGCGUGGGGAGCAAACAGG